rnacentral:rRNA from 1 species
GAUGAACGCUGGCGGCGUGCCUAAUACAUGCAAGUCGAGCGAACGGACGAGAAGCUUGCUUCGCUGAUGUUAGCGGCGGACGGGUGAGUAACACGUGGAUAACCUACCUAUAAGACUGGGAUAACUUCGGGAAACCGGAGCUAAUACCGGAUAAUAUUUUGAACCGCAUGGUUCAAAAGUGAAAGACGGUCUUGCUGUCACGUAUAGAUGGAUCCGCGCUGCAUUAGCUAGUUGGUAAGGUAACGGCUUACCAAGGCAACGAUGCAUAGCCGACCUGAGAGGGUGAUCGGCCACACUGGAACUGAGACACGGUCCAGACUCCUACGGGAGGCAGCAGUAGGGAAUCUUCCGCAAUGGGCGAAAGCCUGACGGAGCAACGCCGCGUGAGUGAUGAAGGUCUUCGGAUCGUAAAACUCUGUUAUUAGGGAAGAACAUAUGUGUAAGUAACUGUGCACAUCUUGACGGUACCUAAUCAGAAAGCCACGGCUAACUACGUG